rnacentral:misc_RNA from 1 species
GAUGAAGAACGUAGCGAAAUGCGAUAAGUAAUGUGAAUUGCAGAAUUCAGUGAAUCAUCGAAUCUUUGAACGCACAUUGCGCCCUCUGGUAUUCCGGAGGGCAUGCCUGUCCGAGCGUCAUUGCUGCCCUCAAGCACGGCUUGUGUGUUGGGCCUCCGUCCUCCUCCCGGGGGACGGGCCCGAAAGGCAGCGGCGGCACCGCGUCCGGUCCUCGAGCGUAUGGGGCUUCGUCACCCGCUCUUGUAGGCCCGGCCGGCGCUUGCCGACACAUCAAUCUUUUUUCCAGGUUGACCUCGGAUCAGGUAGGGAUACCCGCUGAACUUAAGCAUAUCAAUAAGCGGAGGA